rnacentral:rRNA from 1 species
UAGGGAAUCUUCCGCAAUGGACGAAAGUCUGACGGAGCAACGCCGCGUGAGCGAAGAAGGCCUUCGGGUCGUAAAGCUCUGUUGUUAGGGAAGAACAAGUAUCGGAGUAACUGCCGGUACCUUGACGGUACCUAACCAGAAAGCCACGGCUAACUACGUGCCAGCAGCCGCGGUAAUACGUAGGUGGCAAGCGUUGUCCGGAAUUAUUGGGCGUAAAGCGCGCGCAGGCGGUCCUUUAAGUCUGAUGUGAAAGCCCACGGCUCAACCGUGGAGGGUCAUUGGAAACUGGGGGACUUGAGUGCAGAAGAGGAGAGUGGAAUUCCACGUGUAGCGGUGAAAUGCGUAGAGAUGUGGAGGACACCAGUGGCGAAGGCGACUCUCUGGUCUGUAACUGACGCUGAGGCGCGAAAGCGUGGGGAGCAAACAGGAUUAGAUACCCUGGUAGUCCACGCCGUAAACGAUGAGUGCUAAGUGUUAGAGGGUUUCCGCCUUUAGUGCUGCAG